rnacentral:rRNA from 1 species
GAUUCCUCUAGUAACUGCGAGUGAAGAGGGAAAAGCUCAAAUUUUAAAUCUGUUAGGUUUACCUAACCGAGUUGUAAUUUGAAGAAGCGUUUUCUGCGAAUUUGGUUAGUCCAAAUCCUUUGGAAUAAGGUAUCAUGGAGGGUGAGAAUCCCGCUCGGUUAACCAAAGCGCUUUACGAUACGCUUUCAAAGAGUCAAGUUGUUCGGGAUUGCAGCUUAAAAUGGGAGGUAAAUUUCUCCUAAGGCUAAAUAUUGGCGAGAGACCGAUAGCGAACAAGUACCGUGAGGGAAAGAUGAAAAGAACUUUGAAAAGAGAGUUAAACAGUACGUGAAAUCGUUGAAAGGGAAACGAUUAAAGUCAGUCGUACCUACGAGUGAUCAACCUACUCGAGUGCGAUUUUGUGGGUAUGUUAGAGCUUAAAAACCUUCAUGCUUACAAAUUGGUGCUCUUUGGGCGUACUUUCUCGUAUGGUAGGUUAACAUCAAUUUCGAUCGUUAUAAAAUGACUGGAGGAAUGUAGCUUCGACCUCGGUUGAAGUGUUAUAGCCUUUGGUAGAUGUAAUGAUUGGGAUUGAGGAUUGCAACGGAUACCCUCUGGGCUAUUCGUCUGAUCUCUGGAAGUUACCUUGGUGUCGAAAGCGUGCUUACGAUAUUAAGGUUGACGGCCAAUAGGUUAGAACGUGAUUAAAUUCGUUAAGGAUGUUGACGUAAUGGCUUUAAACGACCCGUCUUGAAACACGGACCAAGGAGUCUAACAUAUGUGCGAGUGUU